rnacentral:piRNA from 1 species
UGAGAAUCUAAUGUUGCUGCUGAUCUGGU